rnacentral:rRNA from 1 species
UACGUAGGGUGCAAGCGUUGUCCGGAAUUAUUGGGCGUAAAGAGCUCGUAGGCGGUCUGUUGCGUCCGCUGUGAAAACUCGGGGCUUAACCCCGAGCCUGCAGUGGAUACGGGCAGACUAGAGGUAGGUAGGGGAGAAUGGAAUUCCCGGUGCAGCGGUGAAAUGCGCAGAUAUCGGGAGGAACACCGGUGGCGAAGGCGGUUCUCUGGGCCUUACCUGACGCUGAGGAGCGAAAGCGUGGGGAGCGAACAGG